GAUGAAGAACGCAGCAAAAUGCGAUACUUGGUGUGAAUUGCAGAAUCCCGUGAACCAUCGAGUUUUUGAACGCAAGUUGCGCCCGAAGCCUUUUGGCCGAGGGCACGUCUGCCUGGGCGUCACGCAUCGCGUCGCCCCCCACAAUCCUCCGUAAAGGGAACGUGUGUUUUGGGGGCGGAUAUUGGUCUCCCGUGCUCAUGGCGUGGUUGGCCGAAAUAGGAGUCCUUUCGAUGGACGCACGAACUAGUGGUGGUCGUAAAAACCCUCGUCUUUUGUUUCGUGCUGUUGCUCGCAAGGUAAACUCUUUAAAAACCCCAAUGUGUCGUCUCUUGACGACGCUUCGACCGCGACCCCAGGUCAGGCGGGACUACCCGCUGAGUUUAAGCAUAUCAAUAAGCGGAGGA
rnacentral:misc_RNA from 1 species